CCACCAGUGGGGAAGGAUAUCUUCUGGAGAUCUACUCUGCUGGAGUUUUCCAUGUGAGCCCAGGUUAUGGAAAGAAAAAAGAUGUCUUAUCAUCCCAGGAUGAGGCUUCAGGGUUGGAAGUUAAAUGAACUACUGGGAAUGCAGAAAUUACAUUGAGACUGAUUCAAAAGUGGAGAGGAUUUCUGUGGGUAAGCAUGAAGUAUGAAACAGAAGAGGAAAAGCAAGAAAAGAAGAUAGGAGUAACUACCACGAAUCAGCAUCCUCUCAAGAAGCAGAGAUCACAUGUCAAUAAAUACCUCUGUCUCAUACCAGGCUGAGACUUCAGGAAUGGAAGUGAGAUGAACUACUGGGAAUGCAGAAAUUACAGUGAGACUGAUUCAAAAGCGGAGAGGAUUUCUGUGGGUAAGCAUGAAGAACAGAACAAAGCUGGACAAACAAACUGGAUUUCUCUGCAAGAAGAGAGGGAUGUGUGGAGAAAGAAAACAUCAAUCCUAAAGAAAGCUGCAAGAUAUUACCUGUUAGAUAAACGGUCACCUAUGCAUACAUCUUGCCAUGAGGAUGCAUAAACUGGCAGAUCAAAUGAACACAAUCAACCCUGAAUAGGAUGUAUGAGCAGGCACAAGAUGCAGAUAAUGUUAGCUGAAUUUUUGGAACAGGCGAGAUCAAGUAUAGCAGUACUGCUGACCAGUGACUUCAGUAAUGUCUCAUGAUCUUCCAUCAUCUCUCCAGCAUUUUUCUCAACAUGCAAAUUAAGUGAAACAAGUCCCUUUUUACAUGAUCAGAAUAAUAUUAACUACAAUAUAGAUGUCAUCACGCUGGAUAUCCUCUUGGCAGUUUCAGAAAAGAUGUCAGGCUCCAUUUGUGAAGGCAGAGUUGCUCUCUCACACAUUGUUGUCUCUGAAGUACACAGGUACAUAGAGGCAGAGUCAUAGAGGUAUUUCUCUUCCCUGCAUGUAUUGCAUUUUUCCCAAAUAUGAGAAACAUUCCUCAGAACAAUUACUUGUCUCUUUGGAAAGCACUGUGUUUGCUUGAAAAAGUGGUUGACUACUGAGCAAUACUAAAGGUGUUGAAUCUUUCCUAAAGGACCUCUGAUUAAUCUGUUUAGUUAUCUGAUGAAGCCAUCACAUUUGUUGACUUUAUCACCUAUAAGACUGUCACUUUUGCUGAUCUUGUGGCUUGCUCUGUGGCUAGGUUUUGUACUCACACUUGUCUCCUAACUAAGGGUUGCUAAUACUGACAAGGAUGUAGUCUGAUGCAACAUAUUGGGGGAAAUUUCUUAUUUCCCAGAUUUAUGAAUAUAUUCCCAGAAUAGUAUUUCUUGUUAUGCCAGAAAUUGUCAUGAAACCUCUUUUUGUGAAAGAAACACUAAGUUUCCAAAUAUAUAUUUUCCUCUGUUGAUGCUUGUGUCAUCCCUAGCUUCCACAGGGUUUUCUCAUUGGACCUUCUUAGUUACCUUCUACAGAGAAUCAUUAAGGUUGGAAAAGACCAGGAAGAUCAUCUAAUUCAAUUAUCAGUCCAUCCUCACCAAACCAUAUCCUCAGUGCCACAUUUACAUGUUUCUGGAAAACCUCUAGGGAUGGUGACAGCACCACCUCUCUGGGCAGCCUGUUCCAGUACCUCACCACUCUUCCUGAAGAAAUUCUUCCUAACAUCCAAUCUGAAACUCAUCUAGCACAACUUGAGGAUGUUACUCCUUGUUCUAUUGUUAGAAAAGGCUGAUUCCCACCUCACUACAAUUUCCUCUCAUGUAGCUGUAGAGGUGCACUACUUUCACCAGCAAAAGUGGACUUUGUGGCCGUUGUGUACUCUUGUCACAAGCCAAAGAGGAGGUGAGGUAUGGCUCUGAAUCCUUGUGAGUCUAAAUUGCAAAUGUGACUGAACAUCCCAGCAGUAAGAAAAAUGUCAGCAGCCCCCUCAUGGUGCAGAUGCCCUUUCUUUGCAGCUAAAUUCUGGGCUGAUCCUCAUCUCCUCUCUGCAUUCUUAUUAAAGAUAUUAAAAAUAUCUGACCUUGUGAAACUUCACAUCUCUUUCUGGGCUGCCCCUCCCUGUCCAGUGAAACACCCGUGGAGGUCUGCUGAGGACCAGGCAGCUCUGUCUGUUUCCACGUGUCCGACCUGGAUCUGGUGGCCCCCUGCUGCCGGCUCUCCCUAAUUUUAAUCUUCUCCCACAGCUUGAUAACCUAUUUUCAUGCACCUACAAGGACAUAGACUUGUUUUCUUUCAAUGUACCAACAUCUGUAAGGGGGCGGGGGCACGGUGUAUGCUCAAC